rnacentral:rRNA from 1 species
UAAGAUACCGGAAGGUGUACUUGGAACCGAACCGUUUUAUAACUAAAACAACUUGCUUACACCAAGUUAAUGCCCGUGAAACCCGAGCCGUUUCGAGCCUAAACUUUAGCCCCCCCCCCCUUUUUUUUAUUUAACACUCAGAUUUACAUAAACUAAACUAAAACAUUUUUUUGACUUAGUAGAGGCGAUCGAAAAAUUAUCAGGAGCUAUAAAGCUAGUACCGCAAGGGAAUAAUGAAAUAGAAAUGAAAUAACAUUAAAGCACAGAAAAGUAGAGCCAAACCCUCGUACCUUUUGCAUCAUGGUCUAGCAAGUUCAAUCAAGCAAAACGCCUUACAGUUUGACCUCCCGAAACCAAGCGAGCUACUUCAAGGCAGCCUUCUGGGCUCACCCGUCUCUGUAGCAAAAGAGUGGGACGACCUUCAAGUAGGGGUGACAGACCUAACGAGCUUGGUGAUAGCUGGUUGCUCAAGAAACGGAUCUUAGUCCACCCUUAAAUAUUUUUAACUCAUACAAGUAGCCUGAAAAUUUAAGAGUCAUUCAAAUAAGGUACAGCUUGUUUGAACUAGGACACAACCUCAACAAAAGGGUAAUAACAUAAUUAUGUGAAAAAGUAGGCUUAAAAGCAGCCACCUUAUGAAAAAGCGUCACAGCUUUAACACAACUGAAAUCAAAUUCCUAAACCUUCAUAGAACCCUUCCACCUUACUGAGCAAUUCUAUAUUCUUAUAGAAAUACUUAUGCUAGAACUAGUAACAAGAAGACGACCUUCUCUUUAAUAUAAGUGUAAAUCAAAAUGGACAUUACCACUGAUAAUUAACGCCCUUGACCACCCAGUAAUAACAUCAACAAGAAAAUCUUACUAAUUUAGACGUUAAUCUAACACAAGAAUAUUUCAAGAAAGAUUAAAAGAAAAGGAAGGAACUCGGCAAACAUUAACCUCGCCUGUUUACCAAAAACAUCGCCUCUUGAAAAUAUAAGAGGUCCAGCCUGCCCAGUGACUCUGUUCAACGGCCGCGGUAUUCUGACCGUGCGAAGGUAGCGUAAUCACUUGUUCUUUAAAUAAGGACUCGUAUGAAUGGCACCACGAGGGUUAUACUGUCUCCCUUUUCUAAUCAGUGAACCUAAUCUCCCCGUGAAGAAGCGGGGAUGUAAUUAUAAGACGAGAAGACCCCAUGGAGCUUCAAACAAACAGCACUUGCUAGCACACAUUUUUAAUAAGCCAAGCAUACUGACUGCUAGUUUUCGGUUGGGGCGACCACGGAGAAUAAACUACCCUCCACGUUGAAAGAAUUUUUCUUAACUACAAGCUACAACUUUAAGUACCAUUAUCAUGACAAUUAUUGACCCAAUAAAAUUGAUCAACGAACCUAGUUACCCUGGGGAUAACAGCGCAAUCCAUUUCAAGAGCCCCUAUCGACAAAUGGGUUUACGACCUCGAUGUUGGAUCAGGGUAUCCCAGUGGUGCAGCCGCUACUAAAGGUUCGUUUGUUCAACGAUUAAAACCCU